GACGAACGCUGGCGGCGUGCCUAAUACAUGCAAGUCGAACGCACUCUCGUUUAGAUUGAAGGAGCUUGCUCCUGAUUGAUAAACAUUUGAGUGAGUGGCGGACGGGUGAGUAACACGUGGGUAACCUGCCCUAAAGUGGGGGAUAACAUUUGGAAACAGAUGCUAAUACCGCAUAAAACCUAACACCGCAUGGUGUAGGGUUGAAAGAUGGUUUCGGCUAUCACUUUAGGAUGGACCCGCGGUGCAUUAGUUAGUUGGUGAGGUAAAGGCUCACCAAGACCGUGAUGCAUAGCCGACCUGAGAGGGUAAUCGGCCACACUGGGACUGAGACACGGCCCAGACUCCUACGGGAGGCAGCAGUAGGGAAUCUUCCACAAUGGACGAAAGUCUGAUGGAGCAACGCCGCGUGAGUGAAGAAGGUUUUCGGAUCGUAAAACUCUGUUGUUGGAGAAGAAUGUAUCUGAUAGUAACUGAUCAGGUAGUGACGGUAUCCAACCAGAAAGCCACGGCUAACUACGUG
rnacentral:rRNA from 2 species